UACGAAAGGGGCUAGCGUUGUUCGGAAUUACUGGGCGUAAAGCGUGCGUAGGCGGCCGUCUAAGUCAGGUGUGAAAUCCCGGGGCUCAACCCCGGAACUGCAUUUAAGACUGGAUGCCUAGAGACCGCGAGAGGUGAGCGGAAUUCCGAGUGUAGAGGUGAAAUUCGUAGAUAUUCGGUAGAACACCAGUGGCGAAGGCGGCUAACUGGACCAUUACUGACGCUGAGGCGCGAAAGCGUGGGGAGCAAACAGG
rnacentral:rRNA from 1 species